GAUGAAGAACGCAGCGAAAUGCGAUAAGUAAUGUGAAUUGCAGAAUUCAGUGAAUCAUCGAAUCUUUGAACGCACCUUGCGCCCUUUGGCCAUUCCGAAGGGCAUGCCUGUUUGAGUAUCAUGAACACCUCAACUCUUUAUGGUUUUCCAUGAUGAGCUUGGACUCUGGGGGUUUUGCUGGCUCACAGUCGGCUCCUCUAAAAUGAAUCAGCUUACCAGUGGUUGGUGGGUAUCAUGGGUGUGAUAACUAUCUACGCUUGUGGUUUUUCCACCAGGUAACCUUCAGCAGUGGAGGUUCGCUGGAGCUCAUAGAUGUCUCUCCUCAGUGAGGACAGCCCUUUGAAUGUUUGAUCUCAAAUCAGGUAGGACUACCCGCUGAACUUAAGCAUAUCAAUAAGCGGAGGA
rnacentral:misc_RNA from 1 species